CAAAAUUGUCCCGUGUCAUGAGAAGAUGGGUCACCCCUCUGCAUUUGACAUUUUGAGAUGUUUGCAUCUGUACAGAGGGAGAAAGAGGGCUGGAGAGAAACGACUGCAACGAGAGCAAAAAGGAAAAACAGUAAAGACGUUAGAGACAUUCAUUUUGGAAACACCCUCACGUUACAGAGCACCCAACGAAUACUAUGAAAAGUG
rnacentral:lncRNA from 1 species